UCAUGGCUCAGGACGAACGCUGGCGGCGUGCUUAACACAUGCAAGUCGAACGAUGAAGCCCUUCGGGGUGGAUUAGUGGCGAACGGGUGAGUAACACGUGGGCAAUCUGCCCUUCACUCUGGGACAAGCCCUGGAAACGGGGUCUAAUACCGGAUAAUACUUUCUCCCUCCUGGGAGAAGGUUGAAAGCUCCGGCGGUGAAGGAUGAGCCCGCGGCCUAUCAGCUAGUUGGUGGGGUAAUGGCCUACCAAGGCGACGACGGGUAGCCGGCCUGAGAGGGCGACCGGCCACACUGGGACUGAGACACGGCCCAGACUCCUACGGGAGGCAGCAGUGGGGAAUAUUGCACAAUGGGCGAAAGCCUGAUGCAGCGACGCCGCGUGAGGGAUGACGGCCUUCGGGUUGUAAACCUCUUUCAGCAGGGAAGAAGCGAAAGUGACGGUACCUGCAGAAGAAGCGCCGGCUAACUACGUGCCAGCAGCCGCGGUAAUACGUAGGGCGCAAGCGUUGUCCGGAAUUAUUGGGCGUAAAGAGCUCGUAGGCGGCUUGUCACGUCGGUUGUGAAAGCCCGGGGCUUAACCCCGGGUCUGCAGUCGAUACGGGCAGGCUAGAGUGUGGUAGGGGAGAUCGGAAUUCCUGGUGUAGCGGUGAAAUGCGCAGAUAUCAGGAGGAACACCGGUGGCGAAGGCGGAUCUCUGGGCCAUUACUGACGCUGAGGAGCGAAAGCGUGGGGAGCGAACAGGAUUAGAUACCCUGGUAGUCCACGCCGUAAACGUUGGGAACUAGGUGUUGGCGACAUUCCACGUCGUCGGUGCCGCAGCUAACG
rnacentral:rRNA from 1 species